UCUUCUGUGGCGCAAUUGGCUAGCGCGUAUGUGGUUUAAAUUCAUCAGAUCUUGCAAUCGAGAGGUUGGAGGUUCGAGCCCUCCCAGAAGAG